rnacentral:rRNA from 1 species
GACGAACGCUGGCGGCGUGCUUAACACAUGCAAGUCGAACGGAAAGGCCCUGCUUUUGUGGGGUGCUCGAGUGGCGAACGGGUGAGUAACACGUGAGUAACCUGCCCUUGACUUUGGGAUAACUUCAGGAAACUGGGGCUAAUACCGGAUAGGAGCUCCUGCUGCGUGGUGGGGGUUGGAAAGUUUCGGCGGUUGGGGAUGGACUCGCGGCUUAUCAGCUUGUUGGUGGGGUAGUGGCUUACCAAGGCUUUGACGGGUAGCCGGCCUGAGAGGGUGACCGGCCACAUUGGGACUGAGAUACGGCCCAGACUCCUACGGGAGGCAGCAGUGGGGAAUAUUGCAGAAUGGGCGGAAGCCUGAUGCAGCAACGCCGCGUGCGGGAUGACGGCCUUCGGGUUGUAAACCGCUUUCGCCUGUGACGAAGCGUGAGUGACGGUAAUGGGUAAAGAAGCACCGGCUAACUACGUG